rnacentral:rRNA from 1 species
UGGUUUAAUUCGAUGCAACGCGAAGAACCUUACCUGGUCUUGACAUCCCGGAGACCCUUAGGAAACUAGGGGUGCUUCCAUCUGGAAGAAUCUGGAGACAGGUGCUGCAUGGCUGUCGUCAGCUCGUGUCGUGAGAUGUUGGGUUAAGUCCCGCAACGAGCGCAACCCUUGCCUUUAGUUGCCAGCAGUUCGGCUGGGCACUCUAAAGGGACUGCCGGUGUUAAACCGGAGGAAGGUGGGGAUGACGUCAAGUCCUCAUGGCCUUUAUGACCAGGGCUACACACGUACUACAAUGGCCGAUACAAAGGGCAGCGACACUGCGAGGUGAAGCCAAUCCCGUAAAAUCGGUCUCAGUCCGGAUUGGAGUCUGCAACUCGACUCCAUGAAGUUGGAAUCGCUAGUAAUCAUGGAUCAGCAUGCCACGGUGAAUACGUUCCCGGGCCUU